rnacentral:lncRNA from 1 species
AGAGUAUCUAAGCUGAUAUCCAUUUUUGACUAUUACAAAUAAAAUUGUAUGUGUGUGUGUGUGUGUGUAUAAGUUUUUAUUUGAGAUAAAUUCUCAGGAGAGCAAUCACUGAGUCAAGUAGUAAUUAAUGUGUUUAGCUUUUUAGGAAAUUGCCAAAUUAUUUCCCACUGUGCCUGUAACAUUUUAUAAUCGUACUAGCAAUAUAUGAGUGAUCUAGUUCCUCUACAUCUUUGAUAGAAUUUAGUGUUGCCGAUAUUUUUUCUGAUAAUUCUUUACAGGUGUGCACUGAUCUCACAGUUUAGUUUUAAUUCACAUUUUGUUAGUGACUAAUGAUGUUGAUCAUUUUUCAUGUGCUUAUUUGCCACCUGUAUAUCCUCUUCCAUAAAACAUUCAUAUCCUUUGCCCAC